GUGAAUCAUCGAAUCUUUGAACGCAUAUUGCACUCUCUGGUAUUCCGGGGAGUAUGCUUGCUUGAGGGUUAGUUUGUUACAAUCGUAAAAAGAAAUUUUUACGGAUCUGGAUUUUCCAAAAGUUAUAUUUUUGUAAAUUUAAAAUUAACCAAACCAAUAGUGAUAAUUGAAAAUGUUUUUUUUUAAUUAAU
rnacentral:misc_RNA from 1 species